CAACAACUUGGUUUGACGCUUGAACCCCCUCACUUCCAUUCACCACCUCCUGCUCUCCAUCAGUUCAACAUUCCCCACAUAAGAAAAGCUGAGCUCCAGUUCUUCCCAGCUGUUUGGUGUUUUGAAGCCUUUUCUCAGAUCAGCAAUUAGGUGGAUCAGGUGAUCCAGGAAAUUCUGUCAUCCCUUCAGCUGGGAGGCCACAGAUCCAUCUCCACACCUGGGACUCCAGGUCCCACUUGGCUGCUUCUGUCACACUUGUGCUGCAGGUCUCUGUGCCCAGGAGCUGUAGGAACGGAAAUAAGGGUGAACCCUUGGCAGAGAAACGAAUCAGAGCUGAAUCUUGUAUGCUGCAGAAGGACCUUGGAUCCCACUGUAGGUUCCUGGGAUUCCCA